rnacentral:tRNA from 1 species
CCUUAUACGAUGAUUACACUGAUGAGUGCCCACACAGAUUGAUGGUUUAUACAGUUUUAGAGUAUGGGGCUAUAGCUCAGCUGGGAGAGCGCCUCGCUGGCAGCGAGGAGGUCUGCGGUUCGAUCCCGCAUAGCUCCACCAUCUUUAAGCACAUUUGCUUAAGUGUUCUUAAAAAUGGUUUUCAUCAGAAAAUCUUGCUCUUUAACAAUUUGGAAAGCUGACUGAUAACAACAUUAUUUGUUGUUAUCAAAUAAAAGAUCUCAAUAUCAAUACGUUUACGUGUUGAUACCAAACACAUUCAAGUGUUCUUGGGAAAGCUUACUGCGGUAAGUUUUCAAAAUUGAGUCCGGCAAAAUCGAAAUGUCUCUCGCUCAUUCAAUAAAGAGAGACACUAAACCUUGGUGACUUGUCAUCAACACGAAACUUCUUCGGGUUGUAU